UACAGAGGUCUCGAGCGUUAGGCGGAAUCACCGGGCUUAAAGCGUGUGUAGGCGGAUUGGUAAGUACUUUGUGAAAUCCCACGGCUUAACCGUGGAACUGCUUGGUAUACUGCCAGUCUUGAGCCAGCUAGGGGCUACCGGAACAAAUGGUGGAGCGGUGAAAUGCGUAGAUAUCAUUUGGAACGCCAAUGGUGAAAACAGGUAGCUGGGGCUGUGCUGACGCUGAGACACGAAAGCCAGGGGAGCAAACGGG
rnacentral:rRNA from 1 species